rnacentral:miRNA from 1 species
GACGUCGAUAUUCGACGUCAUAAACACGAACAACUUUGGUGUUUAUGACGUCGAUAUUCGACGUCAUAAACACGAUCAACUUUGGUGUUUAUGACGUCGAUAUACGACGUCAUAAACACGGUCAACUUUGGUGUUUAUGACGUCGAUAUACGACGUCAUAAACACGGUCAACUUUGGUGUUUAUGACGUCGAUAUACGACGUC